GACGAACGCUGGCGGCGUGCUUAACACAUGCAAGUCGAACGGAAAGGCCCUGCUUUUGUGGGGUGCUCGAGUGGCGAACGGGUGAGUAACACGUGAGUAACCUGCCCUUGACUUUGGGAUAACUUCAGGAAACUGGGGCUAAUAUCGGAUAGGAGCUCCUGCUGCAUGGUGGGGGUUGGAAAGUUUCGGCGGUUGGGGAUGGGCUCGCGGCUUAUCAGCUUGUUGGUGGGGUAGUGGCUUACCAAGGCUUUGACGGGUAGCCGGCCUGAGAGGGUGACCGGCCACAUUGGGACUGAGAUACGGCCCAGACUCCUACGGGAGGCAGCAGUGGGGAAUAUUGCACAAUGGGCGGAAGCCUGAUGCAGCAACGCCGCGUGCGGGAUGACGGCCUUCGGGUUGUAAACCGCUUUCGCCUGUGACGAAGCGUGAGUGACGGUAAUGGGUAAAGAAGCACCGGCUAACUACGUG
rnacentral:rRNA from 1 species